rnacentral:rRNA from 1 species
UACGAAGGGGGGCUAGCGUUGCUCGGAAUUACUGGGCGUAAAGGGAGCGUAGGCGGAUAGUUCAGUCAGAGGUGAAAGCCCAGGGCUCAACCUUGGAACUGCCUUUGAUACUGGCUAUCUUGAGUUUGGGAGAGGUAUGUGGAACUCCGAGUGUAGAGGUGAAAUUCGUAGAUAUUCGGAAGAACACCAGUGGCGAAGGCGACAUACUGGCCCAAUACUGACGCUGAGGCUCGAAAGCGUGGGGAGCAAACAGGG